rnacentral:rRNA from 1 species
UACGUAGGGACCAAGCGUUGUUCGGAUUUACUGGGCGUAAAGGGCGCGUAGGCGGCAAUUCAAGCCAUCUGUGAAAUCUCCGGGCUUAACCCGGAACGGUCAGAUGAUACUGCUUUGCUAGAGUGCGGAAGGGGCAAUCGGAAUUCUCGGUGUAGCGGUGAAAUGCGUAGAUAUCGAGAGGAACACCUGAGGUGAAGACGGGUUGCUGGGCCGACACUGACGCUGACAGCGCGAAAGCCAGGGGAGCAAACGGG